UAUCAUUUCCAUGCGGACUGAUUCAAACUAACUAAAGAUAAGGGUUAUCACUUCCUAAAUCUCACGCUAAAUAAUAGCAGCUCAUCCCAAAUUGUAUUUCACUCUUCAUCAAACUCUUGGGUUGCACUACUUAUAAAUACACCCUCUAUUGCUAACCUACAAGCUUUGCAACCCUAAAUACUUAUUCAGAAACCAUUGGAGAUCACCGUACAAAGAAAUCAAACUCAAUAGUCGAUCGCCGAAACAACUCCAACCAACCUUCGGCACAUCCGAAUCACCAUCAAAUUGUACCGGAAUCCACCGCGAAAAACACCAGCUCCUAGUCCUCACGACCCUCUUCGUAACCGAACUUUCAUCUCUAAGAACCGUCGAUAAUUAAAGAGUCCGUAGAGCGGGAAGAUAUCUACUAGUGUUCAUGUGUUUGAUUUGUGAAGCUAAGCUUAAUAAGGUAUGCAUGGCACGUCCUGAGCGACCGUUUCCCAACGACUAGUAGCAAGUUAUUAAUAACGUAGAUCACCUAAAGACAAUCAGUUGUGUUUUAUUCAAUUCAGUUUAUAACAAUAUUUUGGGUAGUUGGUUUAAGUUAUUUAAUUACGACAAUAUUGGUUUAUUUAUAAAGGUUGGAUUAUUGAUGGAUAAAAUAGCCUUACAUUUGGGUUGUAGCCUAAAUGUGGCGGUAAUACCCUUAAUUUAUUGUUUUAUGCUUCCGCUAUAAUUCCUAAUCAGGUAUGG